rnacentral:rRNA from 1 species
UACGAAGGGUGCAAGCGUUACUCGGAAUUACUGGGCGUAAAGCGUGCGUAGGUGGUUCGUUAAGUCUGAUGUGAAAGCCCCGGGCUCAACCUGGGAACUGCAUUGGAUACUGGCGAUCUGGAGUGCGGUAGAGGGUGGCGGAAUUCCCGGUGUAGCAGUGAAAUGCGUAGAGAUCGGGAGGAACAUCCGUGGCGAAGGCGACUACCUGGACCAGCACUGACACUGAGGCACGAAAGCGUGGGGAGCAAACAGG